AGAAGGGUAAGCUAAACAAGCUAUUGGGCCCAUACCCCAAACAUGUGGGUUAAAAUCUCACCCCUCCUA
rnacentral:tRNA from 1 species